rnacentral:lncRNA from 1 species
UUCUUACGUAAGCAUCAAUAAUCAAUACCGCGUGCUACUAUGCAAUCACGCGUAUUACUGUACUUUUACCACUGAGUAGUUCAACAGUUAACGGAAAAACUUUCGCCGUUAUUUUUAUAAAAAGAUAUUUCUGUCGUUUUCUAACUACGAAAAUACUUCCAUUGUGGGGUCCACCAAUGAUUGUACCGUCGUAUGAAUAUUCCCUGUUAAAAUGAAUAUUCUCCGACCCAUCGAAUAUUCCUUGACACAACGAAUAUUUUAUAUCAACUUGCUUACUUUGCAAAAUUUUCAAAUAUCACCCUUAACUUUAACCUUU